rnacentral:rRNA from 1 species
UACAGAGGUCUCAAGCGUUGUUCGGAUUCAUUGGGCGUAAAGGGUGCGUAGGCGGGCAGGUAAGUCCGUGGUGAAAUCUCCAAGCUUAACUUGGAAACUGCCGUGGAUACUAUUUGUCUUGAAUAUAGUGGAGGUGAGCGGAAUAUGUCAUGUAGCGGUGAAAUGCUUAGAUAUGACAUAGAACACCCAUUGCGAAGGCAGCUCGCUAGACUAUUAUUGACGCUGAGGCACGAAAGCGUGGGGAUCAAACAGG